CCUACGGGUGGCAGCAGUGGGGAAUAUUGGGCAAUGGGCGCAAGCCUGACCCAGCAACGCCGCGUGAAGGAAGAAGGCUUUCGGGUUGUAAACUUCUUUUAAGAGGGAAGAGCAGAAGACGGUACCUCUUGAAUAAGCCACGGCUAACUACGUGCCAGCAGCCGCGGUAAUACGUAGGUGGCAAGCGUUGUCCGGAUUUACUGGGUGUAAAGGGCGUGUAGCCGGGCUGACAAGUCAGAUGUGAAAUUCCGGGGCUCAACCCCGGACCUGCAUUUGAAACUGUUGGUCUUGAGUAUCGGAGAGGCAGGCGGAAUGCGCGGUGUAGCGGUGAAAUGCAUAGAUAUCGCGCAGAACCCCGAUUGCGAAGGCAGCGUGCCGUGCCGCCACUGACGCUGAGGCACGAAAGCGCGGGGAUCGAACAGGAUUAGAUACCCGGGUAGUC
rnacentral:rRNA from 1 species